AUAAGCCACGCCCACUCCAUACAAGUAAUGCUCAUUCCCCUAGGCCACGCCCACUCAAAUCAAGCCACGCCCCCAGCGCUUAAAUAUCCAUCCAGGCCAUGCCCAUUCAAUUUAAGCCACGCCCAUUCCAUUCAAGCCCCGCCCACUCAAAUCAAGCCCCGCCCACAGCGCUUAAAUAUCCAUCCAGGCCAUGCCCAUUCCAUUUAAGCCACGCCCAUUCCGUUUAAGCCACACCCACUCCAUCCAAGCCCCGCCCAUGUGUGUUUGGGUCUGCCCAUCUCAUUCAAGCCCCGCCCACAUCGAUGUAGCCACGCCCACUCCAUUCAAACCCCACCCACGCAUCUUUGGCCCCGCCCAUUUUUUGGGGCUUUCAGUGGCUCCCAGUUCAUCCCAGUAACCCCAAAUCCCCUCCCAGUUCAUCCCAGUAUAAACCAGUUUGAUCCCAGUCCCUCCCGGUAUAACCCAAAUCCUCCCAGUUUGUCCCAGUUUGAUCCCCGUCCCCUCCCUGUAUAAACCAGUAACCCAAAACCCCCUCCCAGUUCAUCCCAGUAUAACCCAGUAUAUCCCAGUUUGCUCCCAGUCCCUCCCAGUAUAACCCAGUUCCCUCCGAGUCUCUCCCAGUCCCUCCCAGUUUGAUCCCAGUAUAACCCAGUUUGUCCCAGUUUGCUCCCAGUCCCUCCCAGUAUGGCCCAGUUCCCUCCCAGUUCAUCCCAGUAACUCCCAGUAUAACCCAGUUCCUUCCCAGUAUAAACCAGGAACCCAAAAUCCCCUCCCAGUUCAUCCCAGUCCAUCCCAGUAUAUCCCAGCCCCAUUCCCAGUCCAUCCCAGUAUAACCCAGUCCAUCCCAGUAUAUCCCAGUCCCUCCCGGUCCCAUUCCCAGUAUAUCCCAGUAUAACCCAGCCCCAUUCCCAGUAUACCCCAGUAUAACCCAGUCCCUCCCAGCCCCAUUCCCAGUAUAUCCCAGUCCAUCCCAGUCCCUCCCAGUCCAUCCCAGUAUAACCCAGUCCCUCCCAGCCCCAUUCCCAGUAUAUCCCAGUCCAUCCCAGUCCAUCCCAGUCCAUCCCAGUCCCUCCCAGUCCAUUCCCAGUCCAUUCCCAGUAUAUCCCAGUAUAACCCAGUCCCUCCCAGCCCCAUUCCCAGUAUAUCCCAGUAUAUCCCAGUAUAACCCAGUCCCUCCCACUCCAUUCCCAGUCCAUCCCAGUAUAACCCAGCCCCAUUCCCAGCCCCAUUCCCAGUCCAUCCCAGUAUAUCCCAGUAUUUCCCAGUAUAUCCCAGUCUAA
rnacentral:lncRNA from 1 species